GCUAAAUACAAAUGUCUCGUUGU
rnacentral:siRNA from 1 species